rnacentral:tRNA from 1 species
ACCUGGGUGGCUCAGUUGGUUAAGCAUCCGACUUUAGCUCAGGUUAGGAUCUCACAGUUCGUGGGUUCGAGCCCCACCUUGGGCU